ensembl:lncRNA
AUUAAUUCGAAGCAUUUGGCAUUAGAACACAAACGCGGAGCAACAACAAAACCCGGGGAGCUCUGUAAGCGCCAGCUACGGCGAUCGCCUUGGAGAGCCUUUAAUAAAUGGCUUAAUUAUAUCGCCCUCUGCCGGAACGACGGGAGUGUGCAGACUGAUGCUUAACGCGGCGGAAGAGCUGUGCCAGGAGACCCUGAGAUGGACGCAGAUCGGUUGUUUCACACUGCUCAGAAUCCCGGAAUCGAACGCUUCUGGAUUUGGAACCCAAAGAGGGAUUUGGGUUUUCUUCCGACUUGCUGAAGGGGCAUUCAUUUCCUUGGAGAAAACUCUGUGCACGCAGGAGGGAGAUCCAAAGCUGAAGUUGCCUGAAAAGGGUUACUGUGUCCUCGAACCUACAGGAAAAGGAAAACAGAAUGGUUUCUGAGUUACACGGGCAGAUGGGCUCAGAGCUGAUGAGAGAACGGCUGUGUGAAGUUGUGAGGACAAGGUCUCUUUGGGUCCUGUGCCACAGAUCAGUAUUUAUCAUUAUUAUUAUUCUUUUUGAAUGCAAACAUAAUACAGUUUUUCCUCACUGAAAUGUUUUUCUUCUUAUUAUUAUUUGUUAUCAUCCAGCAUUUGGCUUUCCAUCUAACGUGGAAAGGCUGACCCAAUGCACUGGUUAAAGAAAGUUUUGCAUGAAGCUCUGAUUUCAUUGCUCUAUAGUUGAAUUCUGUAUUCAAUUUUACAUGCGGGGAGAAUCCCUUAAAAGAAAUGCAUCUUUCCAUACAAAGAAUGGGAGGAUGUGUGCAUUGCUCAUGGCAGCGAGCUGAAGAUCUGACUCGUUGUGUGUAAAAGAUGAAAGAUAGGUCAGGACUCCCGGCCCUGUGAGGUGCACUGCUGUAGUUUCUGUCCACCCACCUAAUUCAGUUUCUGUGUUCUUGUUUGGCUUCAGCGAGGCCAUCCCUGCUUUUAAAAGUGGGAGGAAAAGAUAUUUAAAGAUGAUUUCUAAGAACCGAGCUGAUCAAGUUUUUUAUUGGUUGGAUUUCUUACAAAUGAGCCACCAGAACAUCUCCAAGCAAACAAACACGUUUAGGUAUUCUUUCUUCAAAGACUACUUGGCAGUCCUAUACUGCUGUCCAUGGUUUGUUACGUCCUUGCUGGAACCAAGAGUUGUGGUGACUUUGAAUGGAUGAAGUGAAACUUCCAGAGGAGGAACCUCAGCGCUGGGUGUGUGGCUGACCCAAAUAACACAUGGGUGACAUUUUGGAGGGACUGUGAGUUCUGCAUGGAUGGAAAUGCUUGCUUCAUCUCAGCGUUUUCCCAAGUAGCAAUGAAACCAUUUACUGCUCAUCUAAAGAGAUGCUGAGAACAAGAGGAGAGAAUAAAAGGAAGCUUAAAGCAGUAGUAGAACUGCUUCCUCUAAUUCACUUUUUAAAUUGGGUUUUUGGUUAUAAAAUGAUCUUUCAUUGAAAAGAAACACUGGUUAGAGCCUCUUCAUCCACUCCACCCCUACAGGAAAACUUUUCCUGAAGGCCGCAGAAGAAACUGCACCCAGUGAAAUUUUAAUGCUUUUGGACAGAAAUGAGGGGCUCUGCAUGCUAGUGACUUCUCUUUGAAAAUGAGCUCAUUGCUGCUCAUUUCCCUCUGCUUUUGAUCUGUUCAAGUCUGUUUCUUCUUUGGAGAUUUCAGAAGGCAAUUCAUGACUGUAACAAAAGCAGAGUUAAAACAGACUCCUCCUAAUGAGAAACACAGCUGUGCUUCGCUUGUGAAGGAGGGAAUGAAGCUAUUGAAGAGAAGAAAAGAGGGAUGGGCCACAGAGAAGUGAACGGAGGGACAAACAUUUCAUAAAGGGAGAAAAAUGAACAGCUGGGAAGCCCCAGGCUGAUUUUCCUGCUCUUGGCGCAUCUCCGCUGGGCACCAUGUUGUGUGUGUGAAAGAUAAGUGGCUGCUUUGGAGUGCUGAUGUUCGUGUGUGGCUUUAAGUUGUGUUCACUGCUGGGAUUUGACUGAAUGGCCUGAACUGAGAAGCAGAUAAAGCUGCCUGUCAGAUAACGUAAGAGAUUCUUUGCAGAAUCACACAAAAUGUAAGUGGUUCUGCAUGUAACAGGAAACACCCCUUGCUCCUUUCUCUUCCUCUGAAAUCCCCCCUUUCAAAUGCUUUCAUUGAAUUAUUUUUCUCCUUUUUCACCAUCAAGUGAUAAAUGCUAAACUGCUCAGAGAUGUUAUUACUCAACUUUCUGUUUUCUUACAUGGAUUACAAUUUUAUUUUGUCAAGCAGUGCAAGAAUUUGGAAAUUAAUAUUUCUUUCCUCUUUUUUUUUGUUGUUGUGUGAUAUUCCUUUCUGUUAUUUCAGGUGAAUCAGCAUGUGUCACUUUCAUUACACUGAAAGCACAACUUACAACUGAAAAAUGGGCCCAGAAUGUAUGCAGUUGGCAAAAAUCGUGGCCUAAAAAGGCACCAAAGCCCUUUCAAAACAGUAAAAUAGGUGUUCCAGAAUAAGAUAUAUUUUUUUUUUGCCUUGCACCAUAGCGUAUAAAAUAAAUAUAAUGGGAAGAGACUUCAUUAGGCACACUCAGAAAGGCAUAUUAAUCUCUAAUAACAGCUUCACAAGGCACAGCUUGAAGUGUAUUUUUUCCCAUUGAGACUGCAUUUAUAUUCUGCAUUUUAUAUAUUGUUUUUGAUGCAUUACAAAGUUAAUUUUCUCUAUCAGGUGGUCCCAAAUGAUGAGUGGCAUCCUUUGGUAUUUAUGGAAACAAAUUAAUAUUAAUAAAAGCAAUACUAAGUGCUGAACUGUCCCAGAGUUCCUGUGUGUGCUCCAGGUAAUAAGCUAAGCAU